rnacentral:lncRNA from 1 species
AUAAAGGCAUGAUGGGAGCCAUUGGUUUCCAAUCUUGAGUUUGGCUCGUGAGCAAAGAGAAGAGAAGAGGAAAUUGUAUUUUGAAUUCAACGUGUCCACUGCUAUAUUCAUUUGUUCCUGAAUUACAACUAUUAUUACUACGUCACACAACACAACAACAUUGAUUAAUUGAUUGUUUUAUUGUUUUGUUCAUCAUGUGGUCUGGCGACGCAAUGACUUAUAGCCAAUUAGAGUUUAUGGUCUCUUUCAUUCACUCCUCCUUUGCUUUUUUACUUUGACUCUCUUUG